rnacentral:rRNA from 1 species
GGCUACCGCUAUUGGAGUUCGAUUAAGCCAUGCGAGUCGAGAGUCUUAGGGACUCGGCGUACCGCUCAGUAACACGUGGGUAACCUGCCCUAUGCUGGGGAAUAACCUCGGGAAACUGAGAAUAAUGCCCCAUAGUCCACCAUGCCUGGAACGGUUGGUGGAUGAAAGCUCCGGCGGCAUAGGAUGGGCCUGCGGCGUAUCAGGUCGUAGGGGGUGUAACGUACCCUCUAGCCAUCGACGCGUACGGGUGUUGGGAGACAUAGCCCGGAGAUGGAUUCUGAGACACGAAUCCAGACCCUACGGGGUGCAGCAGGCGCGAAAACUUGGCAAUGCGAGAAAUCGUGACCAGGGAACUCCAAGUGGCUGGGGUAAGACCCAGUCUUUUCUUGACUCUUCAAAGGUCUUGGAAUAAGGGGUGGGUAAGGACGGUGCCAGCCGCCGCGGUAAUACCGGCGCCUCAAGUGGUAGUCGAUUUUAUUGGGCCUAAAACGUCCGUCGCCUGUUUGGUACAUUCGUGGGUAAAUCAACCAGCUCAACUGGUUGAAUUCUGCGAGCACGGCCAGACUUGGGACCGGGAGAGGUGUGGGGUACGCUCAGGGUAGGGGUAAAAUCCUGUCAUCCUGAGCGGACCACCUGUUGCGAAGGCUCCACACUAGAACGGAUCCGACGGUCAGGGACGAAGCCUAGGGGCACGAACCGGAUUAGAUACCCGGGUAGUCCUAGGUGUAAACGCUGUGGACUUGGUGUUGGGAAGGUUCCGAGCCUUCUCAGUGCCGAAGCGAAGGUGAUAAGUCCACUGCCUGGGGAGUACGGUCGCAAGGCUGAAACUUAAAGGAAUUGGCGGGGGAGCACCGCAACCUGAGGAUUGUGCGGUUU